rnacentral:rRNA from 1 species
AUGAACGCUGGCGGCGUGCCUAAUACAUGCAAGUCGAGCGAACGGACGAGAAGCUUGCUUUUCUGAUGUUAGCGGCGGACGGGUGAGUAACACGUGGAUAACCUACCUAUAAGACUGGGAUAACUUCGGGAAACCGGAGCUAAUACCGGAUAAUAUUUUGAACCGCAUGGUUCAAAAGUGAAAGACGGUCUUGCUGUCACUUAUAGAUGGAUCCGCGCUGCAUUAGCUAGUUGGUAAGGUAACGGCUUACCAAGGCAACGAUGCAUAGCCGACCUGAGAGGGUGAUCGGCCACACUGGAACUGAGACACGGUCCAGACUCCUACGGGAGGCAGCAGUAGGGAAUCUUCCGCAAUGGGCGAAAGCCUGACGGAGCAACGCCGCGUGAGUGAUGAAGGUCUUCGGAUCGUAAAACUCUGUUAUUAGGGAAGAACAUAUGUGUAAGUAACUGUGCACAUUUUGACGGUACCUAAUCAGAAAGCCACGGCUAACUACGUG